UCGAACGGUCUUAAGCAAUUAAGAUAGUGGCGAACGGGUGAGUAACGCGUAAGUAACCUACCUCUAAGUGGGGGAUAGCUUCGGGAAACUGAAGGUAAUACCGCAUGUGGUGGGCCGACAUAUGUUGGUUCACUAAAGCCGUAAGGCGCUUGGUGAGGGGCUUGCGUCCGAUUAGCUAGUUGGUGGGGUAAUGGCCUACCAAGGCUUCGAUCGGUAGCUGGUCUGAGAGGAUGAUCAGCCACACUGGGACUGAGACACGGCCCAGACUCCUACGGGAGGCAGCAGCAAGGAAUCUUGGGCAAUGGGCGAAAGCCUGACCCAGCAACGCCGCGUGAGGGAUGAAGGCUUUCGGGUUGUAAACCUCUUUUCAUAGGGAAGAAUAAUGACGGUACCUGUGGAAUAAGCUUCGGCUAACUACGUGCCAGCAGCCGCGGUAAUACGUAGGAAGCAAGCGUUAUCCGGAUUUAUUGGGCGUAAAGUGAGCGUAGGUGGUCUUUCAAGUUGGAUGUGAAAUUUCCCGGCUUAACCGGGACGAGUCAUUCAAUACUGUUGGACUAGAGUACAGCAGGAGAAAACGGAAUUCCCGGUGUAGUGGUAAAAUGCGUAGAUAUCGGGAGGAACACCAGAGGCGAAGGCGGUUUUCUAGGUUGUCACUGACACUGAGGCUCGAAAGCGUG
rnacentral:rRNA from 1 species